UCAGACGAUGCGUCAUGCAUAUCAAUAAGCGGAGGAAAAGAAACUAACAAGGAUUCCCCUAGUAACGGCGAGUGAAGCGGGAAGAGCUCAAAUUUGAAAUCUUAAAGGGUUUCCCUUUACGAAUUGUAGUUUAAAGAAGUGUUUUCUGUUGAGGUUUUGGUAAAAGUUCUUUGGAAUAGGACAUCAUAGAGGGUGAGAAUCCCGUAUUUGACCUUUACUUUCAACUUUGUGAUACACUUUCAAAGAGUCGGAUUGUUUGGGAAUGCAGUCCAAAAUGGGUGGUAAAUUUCAUCUAAAGCUAAAUAUUGGCGAGAGACCGAUAGCGAACAAGUACCGUGAGGGAAAGAUGAAAAGAACUUUGAAAAGAGAGUUAAACAGUACGUGAAAUUGUCAAAAGGGAAGCGUUUGACACCAGUGUUGUUUUUCUGAAAAUCAAUUAAAGAACUGUUUAUGCUAAGCUGUUUAGACUUUAUCAGCUAUCUGCUUAGUUUUGAGCUUUCCUUUAAUGCACUUUUCAGUUAACAAGUCAACAUCAAUUUCUUUUGCUGUAAAAAAGCUUGAGGAAGGUGGCUUGAGAUUCGUCUUAAGUGUUUAUAGCCUCUUGCCUAUGCAGUCGGAGAGAUUGAGGUCUGCAGCGUAGAUCCUUCGGGGCUAAAUGCAUUUGUGCUAAGUUAUAGCAUUUUAUAGACAACUUGUUGACUAUGAUUUGUCUUGUAGUUUACUCGCUUAUGUUAUUUUACCUACGCUUAGGAUGUUGAGCGCAUGUCUCUCUCU
rnacentral:rRNA from 1 species